GGCGAGGGGCUUAAGGGGAGCCGAAAGCUGGGUGCGGUCACCCUAAGCCAACCGGCUUCCUUAAGGGCCUCAGACGCCCGGGGUUCCGAGCGCGCCACGCGGAACGAGGCCACACGCGCGCGCGCAUUGCAGCGGUUACUCCAAGGGCGAAACGCAUCCAGACAGCAGACAGCUGUUGGGCGGGACGGCCGUCAGUCAAGACGGAAGACGGAAACGGCCGGUGGGGGAGGGGGAGGGAGUGAAUGAGUAGACGCACGUGAUACCAUCUGAGCCAAUGAGCGAGCCUUUGUUCGACCCGUGGGACGCCAUCUUGAGAGUGGGUACGUGGCGGGUCAGACGCAGAGAAGCGUGCAUUCUGGAGGUUGCCUCCAUAUUGCAAGCGGGCACUGGAAGCCGUUAGCCUCCAACGUGAGAGUAAAGCAAGCUGCUUCGCCAUCUUAGAAGCGGGCAGAAAACCCCGUAUUGCCCUAGCUUGCUUGUGGUCACGUGGCCAGAAUUUGGCCUUUCAACCGAGUUUCUCCUGGACUAGAUCGCAACGAGGUGGAGGCCACGUGCUUCAUAGACGCAGUGGCGACUAGAUUGUGAAUCAUCUCUUUCCGUCUUUUGUCUACCCACAGCAGCCAAGCUCCACCCGUGUCGCAGGGAUGGGGAAACCGAGGAAAGGAACCGCAGUGUGGCUGGUUCUGCCUAAAGCUGGGGAAACGAGGCUACAAACUCAGCAGCCGCAGAAUCCACUGGAGGGACGAAACUCCGCCCUCUUGUACCUUCACCCCAGCAGCCAGGAUUCUGCCUUCCAGUCCUGGGGUAUCACAAAGCAAGACGGGUUCUCCAAGGCCUAGUGCAGGCUAUAAAACAGAGAUCCUUUGGUAGGACUCCCAAAGGCACAAACUAUCCGGAUUCUUGUCUGCUUGGUUAUCUGCUAAAAAAAAAAAAAAGGCCAGGCAAGGGGGAAAAGUUUCUCCUCCGCCCUGCACGGGAGGUGAGCCCAGAGCACUGGCCUCCCUUUUCUGUAAUCCAGGGCUCGCGGGAGGCGGGGCAAAGGGGCUGUCGGCUAUACUGGUUUCCUUGCAGAUCUGGCCAGGGGCCCAACAGCCUUGGAGCCCCAACGCGGGCUUGGUGCCAGAGGAUUCCAGCCUGGAUUAGGGGCGGCUGCCGAUUUCUAUGGAGGCCGCGCCGGGAGUGAGGUCUUUCAGGCCCCAGCCAGCCGGCACAGCAGCUAGCUUGAAGGCCCAGAAUCACUAAUCAGGACCGUCUCGCGGAUUUAGAAAACACAUACACACACACAACAAGGCAUAGGAUUUAAGCCCUCUGGGACUCCCAUCAGGUCCUAGCUGGACCAUCAGGGUUGGCUGCCAGUUUUUGUUCUCUGGGUGGCUGGUGCCAAGCAGGAGCCCCACCCUCAGAAGCUAAUCUGCACGCGUGGCUGCCAGUGAAGUUGGAGGCUGCUGAUGUCCAAGGAGCACAGGUCUACACUAGCAGAGUUUGUGAAAGCCACUUCAGAGACCUCCCAGAACCUUUCUUAUGAAAACGGUUUGUGUGUAGCCCUGGCUAUACCGAACUCCUGCUGGCCUCUAAGGCCCAGAGAUCUGCCUCCUGAGUUAAUGGCCAGCCCCACCACGCCUUGCUUCCCGGAACCACUGAAUGGUCUUGUUCACCUUCAAUUCCUUAUCUGCUUCCUGAUCCGAAUCAGACCUCCAUUACUCAGUGGGGAACAUUUAAUUCCGAAUCUCAACCCCUGCACUGCAGAGACCCAGCCUGAGGCUGGCCUCACAUAGAUCCACUGCCCCUGCUUCCUGAGUGCUGGAAUCAAAGGUGUGUGCCACCAUGCCCAGCUAGAAUUGUUUUUGAGACAAAUUCUCAACUUUGUGACCCAGAUUGUCCUGGAAUUCAUAUCUCAAACUGGCCUCAAGCCAGCAGUGAUUGUCCUGUUUCUGAAUCCUGUGGUGAAAUGACAGGUCUGUGCCUCUAUGCCUAGCCAGAGUGAGUUCAAGACCAGGUUGGGCAACAUAGUAAAGAGGGCAGGGGGAGGGGGAACCUCUGCUUUGAACCCCCCAAAGAGGGCCUAGGGGUGUGGCUCCAGGGUGGAACCCCAGCUUAGAAUGCCCCAAUGAGUUGAGUGUAGCUCAGGGGUGGAGCCCCAGCCUAGAAUGCCUCAGUUAGGGGCUAGGAGCAUGGCUCAGCAUUAGGACACUGGCCCAGCACACAGGAGAUCCUGGCUUCCUUUUUCAAAGCUGCCAGAGCAUAUUUUAAAAACGAUUAAUGUUCUGUGUUGCUGCUGUGAUGCAGAGCCCACGAUGGACUGCCUCUAACGUCACAGAUGUGAGCCUUGCAUCUGGAGCCCAGAAGUCUGAGGCCGGGCUUUGCACAGGAAGUGCCUUUUCUGUCUCCCAGACUCUGGAGCUCCCAAGUGUCCGGGACUUGUGACAGAAUCCCUGCGUGUGCUUCUGUCUUCAGACUGUCUCCUACUAAAUCCGGCCUGGAUAAUUUCAUUUUCGGGACCCUGAACUGCAUCUACAAAGAACCUUUGUGGUGCUAGGGCUGGAGCUCACUCCCACCCCGCCCAACUAGACCCGUGUUUGCUGCUCACUGAUCAUGCCCAGGGCCCCAACCAUCGCUGGUCACAGUAACCCAUCUCAAGGUUGCGAAUGGCUUAGGAAGCCUGCACCCCAAGUGUCCUCAAGUGGGCUGGCUUUUGGGAGAGAGCCAUGGUUUAGUGACCAGUCAUUUUUACUGCCUUCCUGUCUCUGCAGAACACCUGUUGGGGAAGACACUGCAUUGUUUAGCUCUUCCACAUGGUUGGCCUGACUUUGUCUCCAGCCUGCCCAGCGCCCACCUCAGCCUUGCCAGCUGCUGCUCAUGAAUGAUUGAGAUGAGGAGGGACAGCUCACCUGGCCUUUGUCUGAGAGGCACACUAGCCUGCUUGUUACCAGGGAAAGUGAUACUCCCCUGUAGGAGGAGAUGGAGGCAGGGGUGAGGGGCCCUCAGAGCCAGGGCCAAGUGAAACUCUCAGAACAAUACAAGGAAGAUAGACACAAGCCUCAGUUUAUUCCUCUAUAAAAGGGAAACAAGGCCAGUGUCUCCACCAAAGGAAAUAGUCUACAGGUUGUUAUUUCUUGUUUGUUUGCCUUGCUGGGGAUGGAACCCAGGACUUCAGAACUGCUGAGCCCCUGUUGUCAUGGUAACUGGGGAUCUAGGAAGGAACCUUGAAGGCUGAGACCCCUUGAAGGCUGAGACCCUCCUGUCUUAACCUCUCAGAAACAUGUCCUGACUAGCCUGGGCCACCAC
ensembl:processed_transcript